GUAAGAUUUUAUUUCUCAAAAUAAAAUCCCCCAAGCUGGUCCUUCCCAUUUACAUUGCCCUGACAUUCUAAUGCCAUUUCGUCUGCUUAAGAAUCUUUUCUUCCCUGCCAGACAAUAUCUUACUCAUGUUUUAGUAUCAAGAUUAAAUAUCUAUUCCUCUGGAAAGGCUUUCUAGCAUUUCUUCCAUCGGACAGUGCUCCCCUCCCCCAGGACAAAUCUCUCUCUCUGCAGAGUCCCCAUGACUCAUGAAUGUAUUCAAUUAUAAGCUGUUAGUAACUAGAUUAUAAUUUUUGCUUGGAGAUUGAAUCAACUUUUAUAGAUGAUAAAUUCCUUAAAGAUAAAGAUCAUUUUCACUUAGUUAUCUAUAGGUCCCUGAAUGCCUGGAACAGUCCCUGGCGGAGUAAAUACUUCAUAUUUGGUAAGUAAAUGCCUAACAAUUGGUGAUUAUUAGAAGGGCUCAUAAUCCAUGCUAAGGGCACAAAUGAAGAACAGUAAACCUGCAGUGUUUCAUUCAUUAUUGGGAUAUGAACCAUUCGUGAUACAGUGAUGAUUUAGUAACUUGCUGUUUCAUUGCUUUAAACUCACCCUCAUAACAUUGCACUCAGCACCCUGUCCAAUUGCUUUCACCUACCCACAUGUGGCAUACGCUUCUAAAGGCCAUGAUCAGGUCAAUUUGUCUGUAAUUAGCAAAGUGAGCAUUGUCCCUGUGACUGCACAAUGAGCAUGAAUGAAAUCAUCAUUCAUUCUCACUAAAAACAUACAUAUUAUAAGAAGGAAUUACGUAGCCCUCUAACAAAUAAUACCUGUAAGAUAAAGAAGUAUCUUUCACAUUUUGUUUUUUGUGAUGAACCUCAGUAAAGAAAAUAAAAUGUAUUACAUCCUUAUAAUUAGCUGAGAUUAUUUAAAUAAAAUAAUUAUUCUCUUGGUUGAGAGCUUUUCUAAAAGUCUAACUGGGUUUUACAAAAACAAACAAAAAACAGAAAAAAGACUGGAUUUUGUAAGAAUGUUUUUUUAGCAGACAUUUUGUCUCCUAGGCAAGAAUACCUGGCGCUUGUUUUCCAGAAGAGCUGCUUCCCAAGUCCACGUGUCAUACAGCACAGCAAAUCUGUCCACAUCUGCAUGGGCCCAUCCCCACUCCUGGCCACUCUUUGGCUGGCUGCCCACUUUGUGACCUGGGAGAAAAGAGGAUCACAAAGAAAACAUUUAUCUCUUCGGUCCUCGCAAGAGAAGUCAAAGGAACUUUUGUUUCUUAUCAAGAGCCUGGACAUCUUUGUCUGUCGUAACUGGAAAGAGCCUGUUGUACUGAAAUCCUGUUAUCAUGGUGGAUUUGAUCUUCAGUGGCCAAACAUGAAGAAUUAAAAGCAUAAUUCUUGACUGAACUGGUGGGUGGGUUGAACUUUAGGAGUACAUGGGCGGUCAUUCCUGGCGCACAUAUCAGUGUGACAUGAGCCCUGGAGCAUGUCGUCCCUCUCAGCCCUGCUCCUUUCUGUCUCCUGGGGCCCAGUGACUGAGGCCUUACGCUAGAACUGUGUAUCAUCCAACUCUCCAUUUAUAAAGGAAACUUCCUGCUGCAACAACAAAAAAAAAAAAGAAAGAAAAGAAAUGUCCCUGGUCAACAAACAGAGUCUGAAUCACAGCAAGAAUUACAACCCGGCCCUGAAAGAGUAGUCACCAUCUCUAUCAGAAGCAGGGCUUGAGCUGGAAACAGAACUGUGUCUCUCCUAAAGUGAAUGCAUUUUAGGGGUGGGGGAAGUGUGCGCUUAUUGAGUUUUCACAUACUAUUGGAUAUGUGUUUAUAUUUUGGGGUGGAGAGUAUUAAAAAGGAGCCCUUAGUGUUUUUUGUUUAUUUAGGCAGUUGAUUUUUUUUUUUUUUUAAAUCUGACUUCUCACCCCUUUCUUUCUCAAUGUAAUGGCUAGC
rnacentral:lncRNA from 10 species